ACUCCUACCGUGGCUUGUGAGCUAGCUGCAGAUAUUUUUUCUUCCAACUUGAACACGAGAAGGAGGAGGAACCGGCCGGAGAUGGCGGGGACGGCGCUAAGCAUGGCGAGGUCGAUGCUGGGGGCCGCCAUCAGCGUCGCCGCCUCUGCUGCUGCCAACGAGAUGAGCUUGCUCAUGGGCGUCAGGAAGGAUAUCUGGUUUAUCAAAGACGAGCUAGAGACGAUGCAAACAUUCCUGCUGGUCGCUGAAGGAAUUAAGGAGAAAGACAUGCUACUGAAGGUGUGGGCGAAGCAAGUAAGGGAUACGUCCUACAAUAUUGAAGAUUGUCUUGGUGAAUUCAUGGUGCAUGUGGCAAGUCAAAGCUUGUCGCAAGAACUAAUGAAGCUCAAAGAUCGCCAUCGAAUCGCCAUACAAAUCCGUGAUCUCAAAUCAAGAAUAGAAGAUGUGAGCAGCAGGAACACACGCUACAAUCUGAUUGAGAAGAACCAAAUUACUAGAGCCAUUGAUGAGAGGGAUUCUUGCAUGGAAGAUAUCCGCAACCACUCAGCUAGCAACAUAGAUGAAACCGAACUUGUGGGAUUUUCCAAGCCCAAAGAAGAGGUAAUAAAGCUUAUAGAUGUCCAUGCCAGAAAUGUUCUUGCUCAAGUAGUAUGUGUGGUUGGCAUGGGCGGUUUGGGUAAGACCACUCUUACAAAGAAGGUUUAUGAAAGUAUGGAUAUCUUUUCAUGUCGUGCUUGGAUCACUGUUUCACAAUCAUUUGUCAGGAUGGAGCUUCUCAAAGUUAUGAUCACACAACUUUUUGGCAAGGAAGCAUUGAAGAAGAAACUUGAAGAGAAAGAAGUGCGAGUAGAGAACCUCGCCUGCUAUCUCAGGGAAGGGCUACUUGAGAAGAGGUACUUAAUUGUUCUUGAUGAUUUAUGGAACAUAGAUGAUUGGAAGUGGAUCAAAAGUAUUGCUCUUCCUACCAAUAAUAGCAAAGGUAGCUGGAUAAUCGUAACAACACGAGAUGUUGGCUUAGCUAAGGAAUGUAAUUUGGAAUCUUCGAGAUCGGUUAUCUACCACCAUGAACCCCUACAAAGAGAAGAUGCCAUAAAAUUGCUACUUAUAAAGGCUAGGAAAAGUGAGGAAGACAUGAAAAAUGACGAGAACAUGAGGGAAAUAGUUACUAAGAUAGUAAAGAAGUCUGGACGGUUACCACUAGCCAUACUCACGAUAGGAGGCAUGCUAGCCACCAAAAUGGUAACUGAGUGGCAAAAUAUUUAUAACCAGCUCCCCUCAGAGAUAGAGACCAAUCAAAGUCUUGAAGCAAUUAGGAGGAUUGUUACUCUAAGUUACAACCACUUGCCAUCUCAUCUUAAGUCAUGUUUCUUGUAUUUAAGCAUAUUUCCUGAGGAUUUUGAAAUCAAGAGGAGGCGUCUAGUGGAAAGAUGGAUAGCCGAGGGGUUUGUUAUCACCAAAAGUGGGAUAACUGCUGAGGAUGUUGGGAAUAGUUACUUUAAUGAACUAAUCAAUCGUAGCAUGAUUCAGCCAUCAAGAGUGAACCUAGAAGGGAUAGUGAAGAGCUGCCGAGUUCAUGAUAUUGUCCGUGAUGUCAUGAUCUCAUUUUCUAGAGAUGAAAAUUUUUCAUGCUCAACAUGGGCUAAUGUAACCGGCAUAGGAGGAGACAACUUCCGCCAUGUCGCAUACCAGGGCAGUUGGUGCCCAAAUAAAGGCUUGGACUGGAAUCAUGUCCGAUCAUUAACUGUGUUUGGUAAGAGACCCAUGAAGCCGGCACCUUCACUUUGUUCGGCCAACUUCAGAAUGCUUAGAGUAUUUGAUCUAUGUGAUGCACAAUUUGAUAUCACACAAAAAGAUAUCAGCAAUAUAGGGUUACUACGUCAUUUGAAAUAUGUUAAUCUCAAGCUUCAUGGAGGUUCAUCGGUCUACGAGCUUCCAAGAUCCAUAGGGAAACUACAAGGCUUGCAGACUUUGGACAUGACACAUGGUAACAUAACAUCACUACCAACUGAGAUUACUAAACUACAAAGCCUUCGUAGCCUCCGAUGCAGCAACCAGGUUAUCGAUAUACCUUUAUACUUAGUUUACCCAGUGACCUGGUUCUUGUCCACAUUCUGUAUGCCUUUUAUGUUCACUCCUUUAGUUAGUCCGGAUAUGCGUCCAGAAAUUAUGAUGCUCAUUCACAUGGCCUGGACUGGUCGUUUGACCAACUCUAAAGGUGUGAGGGUGCCCAAAGGGAUCAGCAACCUAAAGGAGUUAGAGAUACUAGAGAUUGUGAAUAUUGAACGGACAAGUAGGAAAGCAAUUAAGGAGCUCGGGGAGCUUAUAAAGCUCAGAAAGUUAAGUGUCACAGUAGGGGCAAGCAAGAAAAAGAGCAAGAUACUCUGUGCAUCCCUUGAGAAGCUCACUUCCCUCACGUGUCUUUGUAUUCGUGUGGACGCUGCUUCUCCGAGAAGCGGUGAAUCGCUUAAGUGGUUGCAGUCUAUUUCCUCACCUCCCCCUCUCAUGCGGAAGCUGAAUUUGGUUGGAGAUGUUGGGGAGAUGCCUGAGUGGUUUGGAGAUCUGGUAAAUUUGGUGAAGAUUCAGUUAAAGUUGAGCAAUCUGAAGGAUGGAGAUAAAAGCAUGAAACUACUAGGUGCACUGCCUAAGCUCAUGCUUCUUCGUCUUCGUCAGUAUUCUUAUGUUGGGGAGAAACUGGUUUUCAGAGCAGAAACAUUCCCAAGUCUUAGAAGACUUUAUAUUUUUGGCCUGAAGCAACUGACAGAGUUGACAUUUGAGGUGGGCACUUCGCCCCUAUUGGAAAAGAUAGCAAUCAGUGGCUGCAUAUUGUCUUCGAGGAUUACUGGCAUCAAACACCUUCCAGAUCUCAAGGAGAUUUCACUUGGUUUCAAUGGUAAAGUAGCGAGGCUUGGUGCACUGCAACGUGAAGUGGACGCACACCCCAACCAUCCCGUGCUGCGACUGAAGGAGUACCGGGGCCACCACGACCUGGGUGACGUUGCCUCCACUACAGCAGUACAAGUGCAAGAAGCGACGGAGGAGGAUGACUCAUCACUCCAUAACGACCCUUCAGUAGCAGCACGGGAUAAAUGUGACAGGUCAGCUGGCUAGCUUAUAUCCCUUUUGUUCAGUACUACGGUAGUAGUUAUCAAGUGAGAUGCAUGCCAUGAUGAUCUGCUGCACACGUACAAUUCUUGCUGAUGGUGCUCCCCGCAUUCUAAUUGGUGAUGCCUAUCCUGGAGCCGACAUCGCAGAGUCUCCUUGCUGGCUUCCCCCCACCAUGCUG